rnacentral:lncRNA from 1 species
CCAUCUUGCUGCCUGCAUGAAACUACCAGUAAUUACAUUGAAUUACUCCUAUGCAGGCCUUUGAUGUCUUACUUUUUUGUUUGUUUGUUAUAUCUUGAGUUAGUUAGUGAAAAAACACACACAGACUUGGUAAUCAGGGGUCUUCCAAGUGAGGAUCCACAGCUUGGAGGAGUCCCCUCGGAAAGAUGAUGUUAGUAAUCCAAACCCUGCUUGUGCAUCUUUGUCUCAGCCUGUCUCCGAUAGAGAGACAUAAGCUUUUAAUAGACUGAGAAAUUCCUUGGAGGUGUUUGUUAGUUUGCAAUUACUUUGCAAUUGAUUUUCUUAAAAAACAAUUCAUAACUUGUUAAAGAUCUUCCCUCCCUCCUUCUCUCCCAGUUUCCUUUUCCAUCUCUGUCACUGCCCAGUAUUUACAGUCAUAAAGCCUAUUUGUUUCCCAUUGCUUAGGGAGAUGAUUUUUUCUACAGAGAGAAAAAAAUGAGACCUAAUCAUUUGUAAAACUGGAUUUACAGUCAGAUCCUCCUGGGGACUGAGUAUAAUUCUUACAGUGAUGACUUCUGCAAAUGUAGUUUAGGUGGUUAACCUAUUUGCCUCUGUUUCCCUUUUUGUAAAAUAAGGUCUAUUUUAGAAUAGCUCCUGUAGACCAAAUGCUGUCAGUGAAUUUGUGAAUGGCUUAGGGGAAAUAUAGCAAAAUAUAGCAAAAGUGAAUGAAUGCUUCAUUCAGAAUGGAAGAACACUAAGAGCUGUCCUCCAAAACAAACCUGACUGUCUCCUAACACCUGCAACUUGCACACUCAGCAAUGAACCUUCCUGCUUUUCUCCACCAGGGCCUGCAGCUGGGAACUCAAGAGUUGGAGGAGAUGGGAAGCAAGUUUUGCCUUGCUCUGCUCAUUCUGCAUCUCAAAUCCUUGCCCUGCAGCAAGAAGGUGAUGGACCAGGCAGCGCUCCUGCUGGAUCUGGAUGAGGAGAUAACAGACCGAGCACAAAGCAUUAGGGUGAGCAGAAACCUCAUGCAGUUUUAAGAAAGGUGAAGUGCUAAAGCACUGUUCUGCAUGCUGCACUUCUCAGGGCUCCCAGCUUGCCCUUUUUGUUCAAAUUCCCAGUGGCAGGAUGGGCUGGAGGUAAGUCGCUGCAUGUUUCUAAGGAGAUAGGGCUUGGCUGCGGUCUAGUUGUUGUUCUAACAGGACACUUCUCUACAUGAUCCCAUCUUAGGCUAGCCAGCAGCUCAGGCUCAGGGUUAAUUUGUGAUCUACACAUCAGGCCCAGGGUUAAGUUGCAAUCCACACAUCAGUGUUCUCAUUUAAACAAGGUGUACGCUGCCUGUCUUGUUCCUUGCACUUCACCAUAAGCUUAAGUGCUGUGCAAGAGAAAUGUUUCCCUUCAUGUUGCCAAGUAUGGACUCUGGUGGAGGGAACAGAGAAAAGUGAAGAACUUUGCAGUUACCUGGUACUCUGUGCUGCAAAAAGGCCCUGCCAGCUCCCUUCAGGCUCUGCAGAGCCCUUGGGGUGAGGUCUGCUACUGCCCAAACGCCAGAAGGCCCCGUAACCAAGCCGUGUCUUGUAACAAAUGCCACACCGCUGCACGAUGGAGCUGGUGAUAAGUGUGUAGAGACUGUUUUUUUGUAACGCGUUCUUAACGAACUAACAAACCAGAGCUAAACACCGAGAGUGAAUCCAUGUGAGAAAGGCCCCCUGCUUUCUGACUUACGCUUUCCCUUCUUUUGCUUUUGCUAUCUCUCAGCAUGAAUGCAAUCAAACCGCACUCAGGAACAUCUGAGCUGUGCAUUCGCCACUUAGGACUUUCUGGGUAGUGAAGUUUCCACAUUGUUUAUUUAGAGCUAAGUGUUCUGCUGGGUCUCUUAUCACUUUCUGUAAAUAACAACUGUCCUCUAAAUUCUUCAGGCUGAUUACUGAGACUGACAAUCUGUGUGUUUUGAGUUGCUGAGCUGUAUUAAUCUCUAAUAUACCCUGGUCUGUGGAUGGAAAGGCUAAUGUAUUGAGGAUGUCACAAGAGGUAAAAGCCAAAAGACUUACUCUUCCUGGGCAUGUGAAGUGCUUUGGUUGUGACAUGAAUAAAUCUCCCAGCAGCAACA